rnacentral:lncRNA from 1 species
UCAAUUACAAAAGGCUUUUGGAAAUUUACAUAGACUAGCCGUAGACGCUUUUAAAAAGUUAGCUUCAAACAAAAUAAUUUUUUCACAUUUAGAAGCUAAAGUUUUAGAAAUCGAAAAUAAUAUGGAAGCUCUUAAGAAAUCUAUGGUAGAUAUUAUAAAAGACAAGAAUGAGGAUAAAGAACCUUCAUGAUUUGGUUGUGAAACUUGUCACAUUUGGC